rnacentral:rRNA from 1 species
GUGUCAGCAGCCGCGGUAAGACGAACCGUGCGAACGUUGUUCGGAAUCACUGGGCUUAAAGGGCGCGUAGGCGGCCGUCCGAGUCCGGGGUGAAAUCUUUCGGCCUAACCGGAAAAGGGCCCUGGAUACUGGACGGCUCGAGGGGGGUAGGGGCAAGCGGAACUUCCGGUGGAGCGGUGAAAUGCGUUGAUAUCGGAAGGAACGCCGGCGGCGAAAGCGGCUUGCUGGACCCCUCCUGACGCUGAGGCGCGAAAGCCAGGGGAGCGAACGGGAUUAGAUACCCGCGUAGUCC